GGAUGGCAACGCGUGGAGCGGGCCGGUGCGCGCGACAGGAUCGAUGAGGUAGCAGGACCAUGGACAACGCCGGUCAGCCUCACAACAGGAUGAAGAUGGCAAAUUGGACAAAAGUAGCGAUAUGCUGCUUUACACUAACAGGGAUGGCAAUGGCUAGUGAUGAAAAAAAGCGGAAAGGGGCGUGGCCUAGACGGGACGACCAAUCACAACAAGUAAGACAUCAUGCACGUCCAAUCGCAGGACUGUUUAUAAUCGGAAGAUGGAAAAACUGAUCGGGAGAGCUCGUGAAAACUCAACGAUAAGGUACCUGACCCCCCCCCCCCUAAAAUGUUCUCAACGGAUUUAGAUGAUUCACAAAAAUGAUCAAUUUAA